rnacentral:sRNA from 1 species
AACUAGCCCCGAUGGGAACGGCAUCCUUUUUUGACGCGAGCGAAGCGAGCGCCAAAAAAGAUAUAGUGGACAGCGGGAUUAGCU